UCAGAUUGAACGCUGGCGGCAGGCCUAACACAUGCAAGUCGAGCGGUAGCACAGAGAGCUUGCUCUCGGGUGACGAGCGGCGGACGGGUGAGUAAUGUCUGGGAAACUGCCUGAUGGAGGGGGAUAACUACUGGAAACGGUAGCUAAUACCGCAUAACGUCGCAAGACCAAAGUGGGGGACCUUCGGGCCUCAUGCCAUCAGAUGUGCCCAGAUGGGAUUAGCUGGUAGGUGGGGUAACGGCUCACCUAGGCGACGAUCCCUAGCUGGUCUGAGAGGAUGACCAGCCACACUGGAACUGAGACACGGUCCAGACUCCUACGGGAGGCAGCAGUGGGGAAUAUUGCACAAUGGGCGCAAGCCUGAUGCAGCCAUGCCGCGUGUGUGAAGAAGGCCUUCGGGUUGUAAAGCACUUUCAGCGGGGAGGAAGGCGGUGAGGUUAAUAACCUCAUCGAUUGACGUUACCCGCAGAAGAAGCACCGGCUAACUCCGUGCCAGCAGCCGCGGUAAUACGGAGGGUGCAAGCGUUAAUCGGAAUUACUGGGCGUAAAGCGCACGCAGGCGGUCUGUCAAGUCGGAUGUGAAAUCCCCGGGCUCAACCUGGGAACUGCAUUCGAAACUGGCAGGCUAGAGUCUUGUAGAGGGGGGUAGAAUUCCAGGUGUAGCGGUGAAAUGCGUAGAGAUCUGGAGGAAUACCGGUGGCGAAGGCGGCCCCCUGGACAAAGACUGACGCUCAGGUGCGAAAGCGUGGGGAGCAAACAGGAUUAGAUACCCUGGUAGUCCACGCUGUAAACGAUGUCGAUUUGGAGGUUGUGCCCUUGAGGCGUGGCUUCCGGAGCUAACGCGUUAAAUCGACCGCCUGGGGAGUACGGCCGCAAGGUUAAAACUCAAAUGAAUUGACGGGGGCCCGCACAAGCGGUGGAGCAUGUGGUUUAAUUCGAUGCAACGCGAAGAACCUUACCUGGUCUUGACAUCCACAGAACUUUCCAGAGAUGGAUUGGUGCCUUCGGGAACUGUGAGACAGGUGCUGCAUGGCUGUCGUCAGCUCGUGUUGUGAAAUGUUGGGUUAAGUCCCGCAACGAGCGCAACCCUUAUCCUUUGUUGCCAGCGGUUAGGCCGGGAACUCAAAGGAGACUGCCAGUGAUAAACUGGAGGAAGGUGGGGAUGACGUCAAGUCAUCAUGGCCCUUACGACCAGGGCUACACACGUGCUACAAUGGCAUAUACAAAGAGAAGCGACCUCGCGAGAGCAAGCGGACCUCAUAAAGUAUGUCGUAGUCCGGAUUGGAGUCUGCAACUCGACUCCAUGAAGUCGGAAUCGCUAGUAAUCGUAGAUCAGAAUGCUACGGUGAAUACGUUCCCGGGCCUUGUACACACCGCCCGUCACACCAUGGGGAGUGGGUUGCAAAAGAAGUAGGUAGCUUAACCUUCGGGAGGGCGCUUACCACUUUGUGAUCAUGAUG
rnacentral:rRNA from 1 species